ACGAGGAAGGGUUUUGUAAGCGACGAAAUGCUUCAGGGAGUUGAGAAUUAGCAUAAAUCCGAAGAUUCCCGAAUAGGCCAACCUUUCGAACUGUUAUUGAAUCCAUGGGCAAGCAAGAGACAAUCUGACAAAUUGAAACAUCUUAAUAGCCAAUGGAAAAAAAAGCAAAAGUGAUUCCCAUGGUAGCAACAAGAGAAAUGGGAGCAACCUAAACCAUGAAAACGGGGUUGUGGGAGAGCAAUACAAAUGUCAUGAUAUUUAAUCAAAACGUUAAACUUAUGUAAUUAUAGGUCAAAUUUUAGAUAAUGAUAAUCUUGUUAUCAAUCGAGAUGGAUUAU
rnacentral:ncRNA from 1 species